GAGUUUGAUCCUGGCUCAGGAUGAACGCUAGCGGCAGGCUUAACACAUGCAAGUCGAGGGGUAACAGGGGUAGCAAUACUUGCUGACGACCGGCGCACGGGUGAGUAACGCGUAUGCAACCUACCUCUAACUGAGGCAUAGCCCGGAGAAAUCCGGAUUAAUACCUCAUAAUAUUUCGAAUUCGCAUGUUUUCGAGAUUAAAGUUCAGACGGUUAGAGAUGGGCAUGCGUGACAUUAGUUAGUUGGUGAGGUAACGGCUCACCAAGACUGCGAUGUCUAGGGGGUCUGAGAGGAUGGUCCCCCACACUGGUACUGAGACACGGACCAGGCUCCUACGGGAGGCAGCAGUGAGGAAUAUUGGGCAAUGGACGCAAGUCUGACCCAGCCAUGCCGCGUGCAGGAUGACUGCCCUAUGGGUUGUAAACUGCUUUUAUUUGGGAAGAAACCCUCGCUCGUGAGCGAGGCUGACGGUACCAAAAGAAUAAGCAUCGGCUAACUCCGUGCCAGCAGCCGCGGUAAUACGGAGGAUGCAAGCGUUAUCCGGAUUUAUUGGGUUUAAAGGGUGCGUAGGCGGAAAUUUAAGUCAGUGGUGAAAUCCUACAGCUCAACUGUAGAACUGCCAUUGAUACUGAUUUUCUUGAGUAUAGUUGANGUGGGCGGAAUGUGUAAUGUAGCGGUGAAAUGCUUAGAGAUUACACAGAACACCGAUUGCGUAGGCAGCUNNCACUAAACUNACUGACGCUCAGGCACGAAAGCG
rnacentral:rRNA from 1 species